AUUGAACGCUGGCGGCAGGCCUAACACAUGCAAGUCGAACGAGUGGCGGACGGGUGAGUAGUGUCUGGGAAACUGCCUGAUGGAGGGGGAUAACUACUGGAAACGGUAGCUAAUACCGCAUACCAUCGGAUGUGCUCAGAUGGGAUUAGCUAGUGGGUGGGGGAAAGGCUAACCUAGGCGACGAUCCCUAGCUGGUCGGAGAGGCUGGCCAGCGACACUGGAACUUGGACACGGUCCACGCUCCUACGGGAGGCAGCAGUGGGGAAUAUGGCAAAAUGGGCGCAAGCCUGAUGCAGCAAUGAGGGGUGUAUGGAGAAGGCCUUCGGGUUGUAAAGUACUUUCAGCGGGGAGGCGUUACCUGCAGAAGAAGCACCGGCUAACUCCGUGCCAGCAGCCGCGGUAAUAC
rnacentral:rRNA from 1 species